AUGAGAAACUCCCAUCAGAUCACCUUCAACACCAACAUGUUCUCUGUAGCUCUGCUGCUGCUGGCUGCUGGAUCCUAUGUGAUAUGUGAACAGUUGACACAGCCAGCCUCUGUGACUCUGCAGUCGGGUCAACAUCUGACCAUCAGAUGUCAGGUCUCCUAUUCUCUGGGCAGCUACUAUACAGCUUGGAUCAGACAAGCUGCUGGGAAAGGACUGGAGUGGAUUGGGAUGGAAUCUUCUAGCUCUUUACACUACAAAGAUUCAUUGAAGAACAAGUUCAGUAUCAGUUUAGAUACUUCCCGUAAAACAGUGACUCUGAAUGGAGAGAAUAUGCAGCCUGCCACUGGACUCUGUAGCAGUGGAGACCCGUUCUCUGGAGUGACGAAUCCCGCUUCUCUGUCUGGCAAUCUGAUGGACAAGUCUGGGUUUGGUGGUUGA